rnacentral:tRNA from 1 species
GCGAGGAUGGCGGAAUCGGUAGACGCGCUACUUUGAGGGGGUAGUGAUGGAAACAUCGUGGGAGUUCAAAUCUCCUUUCUCGCACCA